UUAGAACACCGGUUCGCGUUCGAACACCAGAGUUAAGCAACUUUGAGUCUGGUCAGUAUUUAAAUUGGUGACCGCUCUGGACUACCAGGUGCUGUAAU